GGGAAUGUGACUUAGUGGUAGAGUACUUGCCUAACAUGCAUGAAGCCCUGGGUUCAAUUCCUCAGUACCA
rnacentral:tRNA from 1 species